rnacentral:rRNA from 1 species
CCUACGGGUGGCAGCAGUGAGGAAUAUUGGUCAAUGGGCGCGAGCCUGAACCAGCCAAGUAGCGUGAAGGAUGACUGCCCUACGGGUUGUAAACUUCUGUUAUAAAGGAAUAAAGUGAGGCACGUGGGCCUUUUUGUAGGUACUUUAUGAAUAAGGAUCGGCUAACUCCGUGCCAGCAGCCGCGGUAAUACGGAGGAUCCGAGCGUUAUCCGGAUUUAUUGGGUUUAAAGGGAGCGUAGAUGGGUUGUUAAGUCAGUGGUGACAGUUUGCGGCUCAACCUUAAAAUUGCAAUUGAUACUGGCAGUCUUUCGUACAGUUGCGGUAGGCUGACUUCGUGGUGUAGCGG